rnacentral:ncRNA from 20 species
UACAUUUGCCACCGAAUCGGUUCUGUAUUUCCCGUUCGGGAAUAUGGAUUAAAAGGGAAUCGGGUGUAAAUCCCGGACAGUCCCGCUGCUGUGAAGCUCCGUUUUAACAUCUUGGAACUACUUUCGCCACUGACUUGUUAUAAUUAAGUCGGGAAGGCUUCAGGAUGGGAGUCAGUCAGAAGACCUGCCGUUCAUUAUAAGGUUCAU